rnacentral:rRNA from 1 species
AUGCAUCCCCAGUUUGCUUCCAGAGAAGGAAGGGGAAGAGUUACAAUUACAACAUGGGGCUUCAAGUGUCUAUUACUGUGGAUCACCAAUAUUUUGUUAUAUCCGUGCAUUUUAGUUACGACUAAGUGCCACACCAAUGAAUGUGAAUGUCUGUUCAGGGUUUUCUUGUUGCUGCUAUUCCUCGUGGAUAUUCAAUAUGCAACUUGGCACCUAAUGUCAGCAACGUGCUUAUCGGUGACGAGGGAAAUGAAAGAAGGCUGCAAUGGAAUUUGUACUAGAUCAGAUUUUGGCCAUAUAAUUUCCGGUGACUAG